GGGCAUGUGCACACCCUGCUCAUCCACUCUACACCUGUGCACUCAUUGUAGGUUGGCGUGGGUUUUAGAGCCUCCGGGCUUUGAAGCAUUCUGCCGGCCUAUGUACACUACAAACUCCUAAAGUAUCAGAAUGUAAACGCGUAUAACGCAUCUUUAUACAACUUUCAGCAACGGAUCUCUUGGCUCUCGCAUCGAUGAAGAACGCAGCGAAAUGCGAUAAGUAAUGUGAAUUGCAGAAUUCAGUGAAUCAUCGAAUCUUUGAACGCACCUUGCGCUCCUUGGUAUUCCGAGGAGCAUGCCUGUUUGAGUGUCAUGGAAUUCUCAACCCAUAAAUCCUUGUGGUCUAUGGGCUUGGACUUGGAGGCUUGUUGGCUCUAGUGGUCAGCUCCUCUUGAAUGCAUUAGCUUGAUUCCGUGCGGAUCGGCUCUCAGUGUGAUAAUUGUCUACGCUGUGACCGUGAAGCGUUUGGCGAGCUUCUAACCGUCCUUGUAGGACAACCAUCUGACAUCUGACCUCAAAUCAGGUAG
rnacentral:rRNA from 1 species